ACCCAAACUUUUGCGUCUCCAUCACCUUCAACACUUGGGUGUCCUCCACCUUGGAGGCUUCGGUGUCCUCAACCCAAAUUUUUGGGUCUCCAUGACCUUGGACCCUUGGGUGCCCUCCACCUUGGACCCUUGGGUGUCCUCAUCCCAAAUACCAGGUUCUCCACCAUCUUGGACCCUUGGGUGUCUUCAACCCAAGGAUUGAGGUCUCCAUCAUCUUGGGCACUUGGGUGUCCUCAACCCAAAUUUUUGUGUCUCCACCACCUCAGACCCUUGGGUCUCCUCUACCUUGGACCCUUGGGUGUCCCCAGCCCAAAUAUCUGGGUCUCCACCACCUUGGACCCUUGGGUGUCCUCUACCUCAGACACUUGGACAACCUCACCCCUGAUAUUUGGGUCUCUACCACCUAAGGCUCUUGGGUCUCCUCCGCCUUGGACCCUUGGGUGUCCUCAACCCAAAUUUUUGGGUCUCCACCACCUUGGACCCUUGGGUGUCCUCAACCCAAGGAUUGAGGUCUCCA
ensembl:lncRNA